rnacentral:lncRNA from 1 species
UCUAAGAAACAGAAAUGUAGGCAGCUUCCUGACCUGAACUGCCAGCACAUGACACCAACUGUGAGUCUGGGUUACGAGUAUUCUUAAACCCUUUCUUCUUAUGACAUGUGCACUAUAGAUCCAUGGAAAAUGGGAUUUAGUCAAUGAUAAUUUAAACUUUCCUUCAGAUGUUCGAUCUAACGCCUGGAGAACAUGUGAGUCUAUUUCUUCUAUUUUGAGUUCCUUUUCAACAUAAGUGUAAUCUGUACCUCAGAACUUCAUAUUAGCACCUACAUUCCAGCCCAUACACAGGGUCCACACACAGGAGACCCUGGGGGAACAUUCACCUAGGAGCACAAUGAACUACAUUGUGAUAUAUUUUUUUUAAAAUUGCUUGUUAAAGGAUAUAAUGAUGAGAAAAGAAAAAGCUGUAUUUGCCACUAGCAAGUCAGUCUGAAAGUAAGCUGGUCCUGACACCUGACAUUUUCCAGGUAAUAGGUGCUAUUGGUCUAUCACUGGUCAUGAGUUCAGUGGACCAAGAAAUGGGGAGAGCUCAUGGGGGACAAGAUAGAUGCUUGCUAAGAUUAGUCAAAUUUUAUCAAUUUUCUGAAAAAAAUAACCUAUAGAUAAGGCAAAAAAUGUACAUUAAGAUAAUCAUUGUCUCUUUUCAGAGAAAGGUGACAUAAACAAGCCUAAGAAUGGACUUUUUGUACUUUCUGUGGUUUGCGAUAAGCAGUAGAAAUGGGUGGAGUAGAUCUGAGAUUUUUUUUAGCUCACUUGUUUGUCUUUUUGCAGAAAGGAGUUAGCCCUGUGCACGUUUGAGCACCUGUGCACACACAUCUCAUUGGAAGGCAGCUUUGCUUUGCAUGGAUAAUAAACUGUGGCCAUAUAAAAAGUGCUACCAAAGCAAAAUGGGGCUGAGGCAGGUCACCGAUUCCACUUAUUUCCUAAAGCCUGACAGGCAUUCCCGCAUUCCUCCUGCUCUAGGGCUUCAAAGGCAGCUCUAGCCUUGAAGUCAAGGCAGAGGGACAGUAACUGCAGAACGCCCAGACUUGCUGUUCUAGCUCACAGCUGCAGGGCUUUCUCUCAGCUCACCCACCUCCUCUACUUUCUCCUACAAUGAUGGUGACAAUCACAGUCCCUGGAAAUGUAAAAUGUAGCCCAAUUAAAUUUGUGCAUUUGUGCAGCCACCACAGAGGGGAAAAUCCAUGGCAUCCCCAUGACCACAUAUAAUUUUAUUACAGCUUCUCAUGCUAUCUAGGGGAAAGGAACUGCUUUAUUUUAAAAAUUUCUAACCCACCAGAGGCUUAUUUUAUAAAAAUCAUAAAAAUGAAUUACUAGAAA